UACGUAGGGGACAAGCGUUAUCCGGAUUUACUGGGCGUAAAGCGCCCGUAGGCGGCUUUGUAAGUUGGACGUGAAAGCUCCCGGCUUAACUGGGAGAGGCCGUUCAAAACUGUAGAGCUAGAGUGAGGCAGAGGAGUGCGGAAUUCCCGGUGUAGUGGUGGAAUGCGUAGAUAUCGGGAGGAACACCAGUGGCGAAAGCGGCACUCUGGGCCUAAACUGACGCUGAGGGGCGAAAGCGUGGGGAGCGAACGGG
rnacentral:rRNA from 1 species